UAAUUAUACUAAAAAAUUGUAUUUUAUUUGUUAUUUAUGAAAAAUGCCCCAGCUGAAUUGUAAAAUUUGAAAUUGACUCUAGUAAUUUUGAAAUAUUUCAUAUUGUCGCUAGUUUAAAUUUCUAAUUAUAAAUAAUUUAAUUAGUUAUUAGCAUUUCAUGAAACUCAAUUAAAGACACAAGAACAAAUAUUAAAAUAAAAAACAAUCAUAACAAAAUGUUAGUAAAAUGGUUAAUGGACCAGUCUUUAAUCUUUUUGUUUUCUAUUCAAGCAAAAUCAAAUAGUUGGUCUUUCGACAUUGAACCAUAAGUUGUAAGUCUACCUAAUUCUAAUUUUUAAUUUUCUAAUUAAUCUUUUGUCUAGUUUUAAAAUCUAGAAUUUUAUCAUGCAUUCAUGUUUGUUUUGUGUGUUGCAAUAUAUAAAUAUUUUUGUUAUUAUUAAAAGAUUUUAAGAGCAAAUUAAGUAAUAACCUAGUCUUGUAUAUUGAAAAAUAUAUUUUUGUUUAUAUUGAUAAUGCAUUAUUUUCAACUCAUAAAAUCUCAUUGAGGAGUUUUCACUGAGAACAAUUAUACUAAGUAAAUUUAUUAUCAAUGAAUAUUAUAGUUGUAAUGUUAUAUAUUGUCAUCUAAAUUUUUAAAGGUGUAUUAUAUUUUGAAUAGUAUUUUAAUUAGAUGCAUGUAGACACACACUAUAAAGAGUACAAUUGUACAUGUGGUAAGCUCCCAUUUGAAGUUUGUGGGGCCCACACUUACCACAUGAGCAAUCACUCAUUCGAGUCAUGUUUGAUUUUAAAUAUGCCCCAGCUCGAUCAAAAUCCUGGCUACGUCCCUG
rnacentral:lncRNA from 1 species